UAGUUUUAAAAAAAAAAAAACUAAAAGAACUUUGGAAUUCUCUCAUCCUCUCCCCUUGUCUCCGGUCGAAAGGGCCACUGACCAUCCGUUCACCCACCAUAGACGGUGGCAGACGUUGCGUAAAAUGUGGUUUUUCAGCUCCUUUUCAAAUGGGUCUGAAGACGAAACCCUCGAAGCCUGCAAAAACCAAAAGAAAAAGGCCCACUUUCACCCCCUUUUUCGUGUUCGAUUCCGACCGUGGAGAGAAACCUUCGAUGACGGGACCACAAGGUGACGAUGCAGUCGUGAGGUAACUCCGGUGUCAGAGGCGUGGGUGAGCGAUGGUUGGUGCGUGAGGUGGCUGAGCAUGCGUGGGGAGGCCAAUGGUGGGAGCGGCGGCCGCAAUAGGGACUAGCCCUAAGUCAUCACAAGGAAAUUUCAAAUAUAUUGAAGGGUAAAACUCGGAGAAGAGAUGAUAAUGAUGAUUACGAAGCAUUCUUAUCAUAAAAGAGGGAAAAAAUGU